rnacentral:tRNA from 1 species
GCUUUCAUGGUGUAACGGUAGCACACUCGUCGGGUAAUCGAGAGAUCCAGGUUCGAGACCCGAUGAAAGCA